CAAGACUCCAUGUCUACAAAAAAAAAUUUUUUUUAAUUAGCUGAGUAUGGUGGUGUGUGCCUGUAAUCCCAGCUACUCUGGAGACUGGGGUGAGAAAUUGCUUGAGCCUAGAAGUUGAAGGUUACAGUGAGCUAUGACCACAACACUGUACUCUAGCCUGGGCAAGAGAGGGAGACUCUGUCUCUAAAAUAAACAAAAAGAAUGCAUGUCAUCAUUUCUAAGGUAACCACUAAAUCAGUAGUGAAAGAAUAUACAACUACUAAGCAAAGUGGGGGAGGGAGGCUGUAAUGUUUUCAUUUUAAUCAAUCCAGAGAGAGAGAGAGAAAGAGAAAGAGACCCAGAACAAGAAAGAAAAACAGGAAACACAAAGUAAGAUUUCUUCAUCAAACAGAGGAUUACUGGGACUACUACUUCUCCCAAAUGCAUGCUCAGAAUUCUUCCUAACCCCACCUCCUAGUAUUAAGGAAACAAACUUCAGAAGCAACAAAAGCAGCUUCCAUUCAGGAAUCUGCUAGGAGACAGUCUGCAGCCAAAACAAAUAUGGAUUGGAGGAGGAACCUUCUCCUGUAAGACAGGUUUCAUAAAUCCGAGAAAUUCCAUAAGGGAUGGAAUUGUGCCAACUGCCUCUGUAACAACAAGAAAAAUGUUUGCUCACAGCUAUGUGUGGACUCUUACUGUAUUAAUUUCCUAGGGUUGCCUUAACAAAGUGCCACAAACUGGAUGGCUUAGAACAGCAGAAAUUAUCUCAGUGUGGAGGCAAGACGUUUGAAGCAAAGGGGUCAGUAGGAUCAUACUCCCUCUGAAAGUGCUAGAAGAAGGAUCUUUAAGCUUCUGGUAGCUGCCGACAUUCCUUGACUUGUGGCAGCAUAAAUCCAGUCUCUGCCUCCUUUAUCACAUGGUAUUCUUCCUUUUACUUUUCACAUUGUCUUCUAUGCAUAUCUGUAUCCAAAUUUCCCCUUUUUAUAAAUAUAUAUUGGAUUAGGGCCCACCCUAAUAACUUAAAUAACUUAAUAAGUUUAUAACUUAACUUGGUUAAAUGCAAAAGACCCUAUUUCCAGAAAAGGUCACAUUCUGAGAUACUGGGAAUUAGAAUCUCACAUAUCUUUUUAGGGGAACACAAUUCAACCCAUAACAGUCACUACAUAAAGCCCAAACUUAAUUCAAUAUUGGAAUGCCAAAAACAUGGGAUUCAAAGAAGAAAUAAAAGUUGAGGUUUUGAAUGUACUGGGUGGGGAAGGAAAACAUGUCAUAUAAGAGCUAGUAACCAGGGCAGCCUGGGUUACCCCUACACAUAAGGCAGCAAUGCCAUUACAGGGUGACAUAAUUCUAGAAAUUUUCCUCAAAUGUAGUGCCAAAAUUAGCCUCUUGCUGAAAUAUUUUCUCCAUUUCAAUUAAAGUGAAACAAGUCAGAUUCUGGAUAACUGACAGAGAUUGGUCUACUGGAAAGUUUUAAGAAAAGAAGAACCAUCAUCUCGGGCUACUCUCUUCCCCUGCCCCCAUACUGCUGAGACUGCCGAAUCGAUCUUUGGUAGUGCUAAGUACUAGGUAAUAGAAAUUUUUUAUUUUCUGAAAUUACUGCACCAGGGACCAAGCAUUGGCAAUUUUUCUAUGUUGAAACAGGUCCAGUAAUGUGCUAAGCAUAAUGUCCUACUAAUUUUUGAAUGCUUUAAAAGAUAAUAUAUACCAGAACUUUGGCAUUGAACGGUUUCUGAGAACGUAUGACUGGUACUUCCUUUCCAUGGAAGACAGCUGAAGCUACAGCUGAUGAAUGAACUCCAACUCCACCAAAGAAUCUGACUGCACUUGAACAUAAUGAGAUUUGUUGAGAAUGUGUAUUUGGGACUUUAACUUAAAAAUUUUGGCCUUUAGACUUUUAAAUUCAGAAGCACAAAAAAAGGAUUCUGGACAUUUAAAUCUUUCAGUCCUUGAUCUUUAACUUGUAAAGGGUUUUAAUCUUGCAACCUUAAUGUUCCCUGAGAUGUUCAAAACAGAAAAUCUUUAUAUUCAAAUUUGUUGGCAUUUUACUGCUGAAACAUCUUUAUGUAUUGCCAAAUACCUUUGUUCAGUAUAGUACAUCAAAGGCUCUACCAUCUAUCUAGAGAUAAUUUGGAAUGGGAAGUAAAAUAAACAAUGACAUUUCUGCCUCAGAUAUAGAGUGGCAUUAGAUUUUAAUUUUCUGUUCUAGCCCAAAGUACAAUCUUCUUCCAGGGUCAACAUCUAAAGUUCUUCCACAAUCCAAAGAGAAUACCCAAAAGAAGGUAACGGCCUUAUGAAGAAAGGAAAAGAACCAUCCAGAUAAAUCUCCUCCAAAAAACAGGUUAAUAAUUAAGUGAACAAAAAGCUAGGAAAUGUUAGAGAGGAGUACCUUUUCCCUACUCCCAGCUUCCGUGAGAAAGGCUGAGUAUACUAUGGGCCUCUCUCGAUUCCUUUAAUUUACAUCACCACUGAGGACCUGGAAGUAUUUGACUGGUAAACUUGGGAAGGAAAAUGAGCCAGGCUCAGCUCAGCUCCACUCUUUUGUUUACAUGAAAACUGAAAGAGGGGUUUCAUGUUGUUUUCAGUUUUGUUCCUUCUGGAAGCUCUGCCCCUGUGAGAAAGUCAACAUUUUGCUCUGUCCUUUUUCUCUGGAGUCAAUACAGUAAGCUUUCUCUUCCAGGGUGGAAGGUGAAAAAUGCAGGGCUGGAAAGGUCUAACUCAAUUACCUUGCAGUGCCUCGGGCAGUAAGUUUGCUUAAUUCUGGAGCUCAGUAUUAGCAAAUUCACUAGGCCAACAACCUAAACUCACACCCAUGAACAUAGCCAAUAUAGGACUAAUGAAGGUUACGUUUCUUUUCCUACUCAGUCAGAACCCAGGAAGAAAGAGGAAUGCUGUUUAUCAGAGGACCUUUGAGAGAUUCCAUCAAGGCUCAGCAUAAAUAUCUACGGUGUUCCUUUUUAUAUUAGCAAUAAUCAGACAACUGAAUUUUUUAAUAUAGAUAACUAAAAUGAAUAAAUCUAACAAAAAGAUCUUAACAAGAGAUAUGAAUACAUGCAGUUGUUCCUAUUCAUUAAUGGAAGGACUUAACAUUAUAAAACCAUCAAUGCUUCACUAAAAUAAAUAUCUGAAUUGCUAAACUCCAAAGCAAUUCCAGUAAAAACCACAAAAUAAUAAUUUGAGAGAUCUGGCUAAUUCUUUUAAAAUAUAUAUGGAGGAAUAAUGCUGCUCUAAUACUAAAAUAACUUUUAAAAUAUUAGAGAAGAAAAAUCACCUUAUUUGAUAUUAAAACAUAUUACAAAGUCACAAGAAAUAACUAUAAACAGUGAAGUAUUAAGAAUGGAAAACAAACGGAUCAAUAAAACAAAACAGAAUUCAAAUGCAUACUCAAGCACAUACUGGAAGUUCAUAUUUGAGUCAGAUGGUUUUGCAAAUCAGGGGAAAGGUAAACUGGUCAAUAAGUGGUCUGGGAAAAGUGACUUGGCAUGUGGAAAAAUAACAUUAGAAAUCUAUUUUGCCAUAAAAAAUAAGGUCUAGAUAAAUUAACUACAUGAAUGUAAAAAGUAAAUGUUUAAAAACUAUUAGCAGAAAAUAUCGAGGCUAUCACUAAGAUGUUCCAACAGGAAAGAAUUUAAAACAAAACGCUCAAAACAUAAAAAGGAAUAGAUUUUAACUUUUUGUGCAUCACUGUUUGUAAAAGAGAGGCAGCAUACUAGGAAGACAUUUGCAAUGGAAUAAGAGACUAAGGAUUAACAUAAAAAGAAUUAUCAUGACGAACUUAACAAAUCAAGGAGAAAAAAGCAAUAACUCAACAGCAAAAAUAGAAAAUAAGAAGAGGUCAUUCAGAAAAUAAAACUCAACUGCCUAAUAAAGAAAUGAAAAUGCUACCUCCAUAGUAAUCAGAAUGCUAGUAAAACAAUAACCAGUCCCCUCUCCACCAUCCACCAGAUCGGCAAAAACUAAAGAAACUGAUACUACCAAGUCACAGUGGGAAUAAAGGAAAUUGGAAAUCAUGUAUGUACUCCUGGUGGGAAGUAAAUAACUGCACUUUGAAAAAGAGUUUGAUAGCAUUGGGUAAAAAUGUAAACUUGAAUACCAUAUGACGCAGUAGUUCCACUUCUAAUUUUACACUUUAGAGAAACUCAAAAGCACAAAGAGAAUAUAAAAAUAUUUACUGAAGCAUUUCUUCUAAUAUCAAGAAACUGAAACUGCCUCUGUCAGUGUGCUGGGUGAGGAGGUAAACAUGACAUGUGGUGAGUGAUGCAACUGAAUUCAGUAGCUGAAUAUAAUGAAGAUCUGUAUCUCAGAAUACGGUGCAUCUCAAACACAAUAUAAAGCAUAAAAAAUGCAGAAUGAGAUAAUAGAAAUUCUUUAAGUAAAAUCUAAAGUAUACUUAAUAAAGGCUUAUAUGCACUGUUAUUGAUAUGUGUGUAUCUGUGUAAGACCAGAGGAUACUUUAUUAAAGAAGGAUACAAAUACUGGGCAUAUGAACAUUGGAUGAUUUGCACAGGUAAGGAAAAUAACCCUAGGGAUAGGGAAUAAAAUGGACCAAAAGACAAAAAAAAAAGAGAAUUUUGAUUGUUUAAUUUUUUAUUUAGAGGAGCGUAGUAAAGCAUGGUGUCUAGACUGAGAAUACAAUGGAUUAAAUUAACUGAAUUCUGUUUCCUAAGGUUCAACAUACACUCAUAUAUACCCUUUCAAUCACCACAACCAUUAGGACAGAGCAAAAGAGGCCCCUGCUAUGCGCUCUAUAUAGUGCAAUCUCUUUCUCACUAUCUCUUAUUACGGAGCACACAGGCAUCUCUAUUAGCUCAAAAUCCAGGACUCAGCCCUACCCCCAGAAAGUCUAUAACCAUGAACGCAUUAUUCAUUCUCUUAACUCUAUCUUUCAGGCCCCCGAACUUCCUUUGCCUAUGCCUAUGAAAGAAGAGGACUGCAAUUAAUUACACUAUUCUGCUUACUUUAUGUGUGUCUGAAUUUUCCAUAAUAAAAAAAAUGCUUGAAGAA